AUCGAACGCUGGCGGCAGGCCUAAUACAUGCAAGUCGAACGAGUGGCGGACGGGUGAACAAUGUCUGGGCAACUGCCCGACGGAGGGGGAUAACUAGUGGAAACGGUAGCUAAUACUGCAUACCAUCAGAUGUGCCCAGAGUGGAUUAGCUAGUGGGUGGGGUAAUGGCUCACCUAGGCGACGAUCCCUAGCUGGUCUGAGAGGAUGACCAGCCACACUGGAACUGAGACACGGUCCAGACUCCUACGGGAGGCAGCAGUGGGGAAUAUUGCGCAAUGGGCGCAAGCCUGAUGCAGCCAUGCCGCGUGUGUGAAGAAGGCCUUCGGGUUGUAAAGCACUUUCAGCGGGGAGGCGUUACCCGCAGAAGAAGCACCGGCUAACUCCGUGCCAGCAGCCGCGGUAAUUC
rnacentral:rRNA from 1 species